rnacentral:misc_RNA from 1 species
UCCGGUUUGUCACCGGCAGUCUCGCAUGAGUCCCCAACUAAAUGCUGGCAACAUGCGACGGGGGUUGCGCUCGUUGCGGGACUUAACCCAACAUCUCACGACACGAGCUGACGACAGCCGUGCAGCACCUCUCCAGAGAUCCCCGAAGGGAGGCUCUCAUCUCUGAGACUUUCCUCUGAAGUUCAAACCCAGGUAAGGUUCUGCGCGUUGCUUCGAAUUAAACCACAUGCUCCACCGCUUGUGCGGGCCCCCGUCAAUUCCUUUGAGUUUCAGCCUUGCGGCCGUACUCCCCAGGCGGGGUACUUCCUGCGUUAGCGCCGGCACCCAGAGGGUCGCUCCCCCAGGCACCUAGUACCCAUCGUUUACGGCGUGGACUAC